GAGUGAAGCGGCAACAGCUCAAAUUUGAAAUCUGGCUUCGGCCCGAGUUGUAAUUUGCAGAGGAAGCUUUAGGCGCGGCACCUUCUGAGUCCCCUGGAACGGGGCGCCAUAGAGGGUGAGAGCCCCGUAUAGUUGGAUGCCUAGCCUGUGUAAAGCUCCUUCGACGAGUCGAGUAGUUUGGGAAUGCUGCUCAAAAUGGGAGGUAAAUUUCUUCUAAAGCUAAAUACCGGCCAGAGACCGAUAGCGCACAAGUAGAGUGAUCGAAAGAUGAAAAGCACUUUGAAAAGAGGGUUAAAUAGCACGUGAAAUUGUUGAAAGGGAAGCGCUUGUGACCAGACUUGCGCCGGGCGGAUCAUCCGGUGUUCUCACCGGUGCACUCCGCCCGGCUCAGGCCAGCAUCGGUUCUCGCGGGGGGAUAAAGGUCCUGGGAACGUAGCUCCUCCGGGAGUGUUAUAGCCCGGGGCGUAAUGCCCUCGCGGGGACCGAGGUUCGCGCAUCUGCAAGGAUGCUGGCGUAAUGGUCAUCAGCGACCGGUCUUGAAACACGGACCAAGGAGUCAAGGUUUUGCGCGAGUGUUUGGGUGUAAAACCCGCACGCGUAAUGAAAGUGAACGUAGGUGAGAGCUUCGGCGCAUCAUCGACCGAUCCUGAUGUUUUCGGAUGGAUUUGAGUAGGAGCGUUAAGCCUUGGACCCGAAAGAUGGUGAACUAUGCUUGGAUAGGGUGAAGCCAGAGGAAACUCUGGUGGAGGCUCGCAGCGGUUCUGACGUGCAAAUCGAUCGUCAAAUCUGAGCAUGGGGGCGAAAGACUAAUCGAACCAUCUAGUAGCUGGUUACCGCCGAAGUUUCCCUCAGGAUAGCAGUGUUGUCUUCAGUUUUAUGAGGUAAAGCGAAUGAUUAGGGACUCGGGGGCGCUUUUUAGCCUUCAUCCAUUCUCAAACUUUAAAUAUGUAAGAAGCCCUUGUUACUUAAUUGAACGUGGGCAUUCGAAUGUACCAACACUAGUGGGCCAUUUUUGGUAAGCAGAACUGGCGAUGCGGGAUGAACCGAACGCGGGGUUAGGUGCCGGAGUGGACGCUCAUCAGACACCACAAAAGGCGUUAGUACAUCUUGACAGCAGGACGGUGGCCAUGGAAGUCGGAAUCCGCUAAGGACUGUGUAACAACUCACCUGCCGAAUGUACUAGCCCUGAAAAUGGAUGGCGCUCAAGCGUCCCACCCAUACCCCGCCCUCAGGGUAGAAACGAUGCCCUGAGGAGUAGGC
rnacentral:rRNA from 1 species